UCAAAGGUCCGCCGCCUGAGGAUGGGUCUGCGGCCGAUUAGGUUGUUGUUGGGGUAACGGCCCAACAAGCCAUUGAUCGGUACGGGUUGUGAGAGCAAGAGCCCGGAGAUGGAUUCUGAGACACGAAUCCAGGCCCUACGGGGCGCAGCAGGCGCGAAAACUUUACAAUGCGAGAAAUCGUGAUAAGGGAACCCCGAGUGCCCGUAAAUUCGGGCUGUCCGCCAGUGUAAAUAACUGGUGAAGAAAGGGCCGGGCAAGACCGGUGCCAGCCGCCGCGGUAAUACCGGCGGCUCGAGUGGUGGCCACUAUUACUGGGCUUAAAGCGUCCGUAGCUGGAUUGUUAAGUCUCUUGGGAAAUCCACCGGCUCAACCGAUGGGCGUUCAGGAGAAACUGGCAAUCUAGGGACCGGGAGAGGUGAGAGGUACUCCAGGGGUAGGAGUGAAAUCCUGUAAUCCUUGGGGGACCACCUGUGGCGAAGGCGUCUCACUAGAACGGCUCCGACAGUGAGGGACGAAAGCUGGGGGAGCAAACCGGAUUAGAUACCCGGGUAGUCCCAGCUGUAAACGAUGCGCGUUAGGUGUAUCGGUGACCACGAGUCAUCGAGGUGCCGAAGGGAAACCGUGAAACGU
rnacentral:rRNA from 1 species